GAUGAACGCUGGCGGCGUGCCUAAUACAUGCAAGUCGAGCGAACAGAUAAGGAGCUUGCUCCUUUGACGUUAGCGGCGGACGGGUGAGUAACACGUGGGUAACCUACCUAUAAGACUGGAAUAACUCCGGGAAACCGGGGCUAAUGCCGGAUAACAUUUAGAACCGCAUGGUUCUAAAGUGAAAGAUGGUUUUGCUAUCACUUAUAGAUGGACCCGCGCCGUAUUAGCUAGUUGGUAAGGUAACGGCUUACCAAGGCAACGAUACGUAGCCGACCUGAGAGGGUGAUCGGCCACACUGGAACUGAGACACGGUCCAGACUCCUACGGGAGGCAGCAGUAGGGAAUCUUCCGCAAUGGGAGAAAGCCUGACGGAGCAACGCCGCGUGAGUGAUGAAGGUCUUCGGAUCGUAAAACUCUGUUAUUAGGGAAGAACAAAUGUGUAAGUAACUGUGCACGUCUUGACGGUACCUAAUCAGAAAGCCACGGCUAACUACGU
rnacentral:rRNA from 1 species